UGGGGAAUUUUGGACAAUGGGCGAAAGCCUGAUCCAGCAAUGCCGCGUGUGUGAAGAAGGCCUUCGGGUUGUAAAGCACUUUUGUCCGGAAAGAAAUCCUUGGCUCUAAUACAGUCGGGGGAUGACGGUACCGGAAGAAUAAGCACCGGCUAACUACGUGCCAGCAGCCGCGGUAAUACGUAGGGUGCAAGCGUUAAUCGGAAUUACUGGGCGUAAAGCGUGCGCAGGCGGUUUGCUAAGACCGAUGUGAAAUCCCCGGGCUCAACCUGGGAACUGCAUUGGUGACUGGCAGGCUAGAGUAUGGCAGAGGGGGGUAGAAUUCCACGUGUAGCAGUGAAAUGCGUAGAGAUGUGGAGGAAUACCGAUGGCGAAGGCAGCCCCCUGGGCCAAUACUGACGCUCAUGCACGAAAGCGUGGGGAGCAAACAGGAUUAGAUACCCUGGUAGUCCACGCCCUAAACGAUGUCAACUAGUUGUUGGGGAUUCAUUCCUUAGUAACGUAGCUAACGCGUGAAGUUGACCGCCUGGGGAGUACGGUCGCAAGAUUAAAACUCAAAGGAAUUGACGGGGUCAUAGCUG
rnacentral:rRNA from 1 species